rnacentral:lncRNA from 1 species
UUCGUUUCCUUUAGUUGUUGUGGAAGGGGCUGUGAUCUGAACUUGUCACCACUGAAACUGAGGAGAGGAUUCCCUUACACAUGGAUUCACUGAAGGUGUAAGGUGCUCAGCUGAGUUAAAAGAACUCAGGCCGUCAGAUGGGCUGACCUAAAGUGCAAGAUCUGAAUCCUGGGAUUGAAGGCAUUUAACACCAAACAAAAAUAUAUUAUCACCCAUACCUUAAGCAACACCAUGAGACCCUCCAAAGGGGAAUUACAGCUUAUUUUCGAGGGUCAGUACACGUUUACUCAAGUCCUUAUG